rnacentral:miRNA from 1 species
UUGCUUGGUGCUGGUCGGGAA